rnacentral:rRNA from 1 species
AUCCUGGCUCAGGAUGAACGCUAGCUACAGGCUUAACACAUGCAAGUCGAGGGGCAGCAUGAACUUAGCUUGCUUUUUCUAGGCGUCGACCGGCGCACGGGUGAGUAACGCGUAUCCAACCUGCCCACCACUUGGGGAUAACCUUGCGAAAGUAAGACUAAUACCCAAUGACGUCUCUAGAAGACAUCUGAAAGAGAUUAAAGAUUUAUCGGUGAUGGAUGGGGAUGCGUCUGAUUGGCUUGUUGGCGGGGUAACGGCCCACCAAGGCGACGAUCAGUAGGGGUUCUGAGAGGAAGGCCCCCCACAUUGGAACUGAGACACGGUCCAAACUCCUACGGGAGGCAGCAGUGAGGAAUAUUGGUCAAUGGACGAGAGUCUGAACCAGCCAAGUAGCGUGCAGGAUGACGGCCCUAUGGGUUGUAAACUGCUUUUAUAAGGGAAUAAAGUGAGUCUCGUGAGGCUUUUUGCAUGUACCUUAUGAAUAAGGACCGGCUAAUUCCGUG